rnacentral:rRNA from 1 species
GAUGAACGCUAGCGGCAGGCCUAAUACAUGCAAGUCGAACGGGAUCUGAGGGUAGCUUGCUACCCGAUUUGAGAGUGGCGCACGGGUGCGUAACGCGUGAGCAACCUACCCAUAUCAGGGGGAUAGCCCGAAGAAAUUCGGAUUAACACCGCAUAAUAAUACGCUAACACGUGUUGAUGUAUUUAAAUAUUUAUAGGAUAUGGAUGGGCUCGCGUGACAUUAGCUAGUUGGUAAGGUAACGGCUUACCAAGGCGACGAUGUCUAGGGGCUCUGGGAGGAGUAUACCCCACACUGGUACUGAGACACGGACCAGACUCCUACGGGAGGCCGCAGUAAGGAACAUUGGUCAAUGGGCGCAAGCCUGAACCAGCCAUGCCGCGUGCAGGAUGACUGCCCUAUGGGUUGUAAACUGCUUUUGUUAGGGAAUAAACCUUCUUACGUGUAAGGAGCUGAAUGUACCUAAAGAAUAAGGAUCGGCUAACUCCGUGCCAGCAGCCGCCGUAA